UGUCCUGGAAGUGGACAAAGAGACAUCUUGGUGGUGGUGGUAUUCUUAUAUCAGUCAAGGAAAGAGCAGAUAGCAUUCCUUUGUUCAUCUUAGCUUGAUGCCUGGCUUGGUGACCAAGCUGUUUUAUACCCAGUCCUCAUGA